rnacentral:misc_RNA from 1 species
GAUGAAGAACGUAGCGAAAUGCGAUAAUUAAUGUGAAUUGCAGAAUUCCGUGAAUCAUCGAAUCUUUGAACGCACAUUGCGCCCCUUGGUAUUCCGAGGGGCAUGCCUGUUCGAGCGUCAUUAUAACCCCUCAAGCUCAGCUUGGUGUUGGGGCCUGCUGCACUGGCAGCCCUUAAAAUCAGUGGCGGCGCCAUCUGGCUCUAAGCGUAGUAAUUCUUCUCGCUAUGGAGUCCUGGUGGAUGCUUGCCAUCAACCCCCAAUUUUUCUAUGGUUGACCUCGGAUCAGGUAGGGAUACCCGCUGAACUUAAGCAUAUCAAUAAGCGGAGGA